rnacentral:lncRNA from 1 species
CUCCUUCUUGCGUUUCAAUCCGUCGACCCCUUCUGCUUUUGGUCUCGCUUUCAUUAUUUGCUUUCUACCUCAUCCCCAUUUUCAUUUAUUCCUCACACCUCUUCCCAUCAUCAUCACCAAUCCAUCAUCCAACGUCCACCAAUUUCUCCACUAACUCUCUUCCUCGCAGCCACAGAAGCCCACGAACGAAGCCUCCACUGAGUCAAACUUCCUUGGCCUAUUUUGGAUGUUGACUCCUCUUGCCGGGCGUCCUUCAAUUCACGAGACUGCAGCUCCACCACUUCCUUUCUCUCUUUGGUUGAACCCUCUGCCGUCUCACGUCCGAAGUUCCAUCCCUCUUCUCCACCGAGAUUCAACGCCAGCUGAAGACCACCGAAGCCACGAAACAGCUUCCGUUCAUCCACCGAGCUCCCAUCUCUUCACGUGCUGCUGCCUGCCACUCCACGCCAGCGCCGUUUGAAGACCGAGCAAACCAACGCCUCCACGAUUUCCAUUUGUCCAGCAACCGAAUCUACACGUCCCAGCUUCUUCGGUCAAAACCCCAAGUCGAAGCCCUUCCAUCGUCGACCGAAGCCGUCCCAUGAAUCGUCCAGCAGCUUCGGUCUUUUUCAGCUCGUGGAUCAGCCGCAACAAAGCCCGCAGCCCAUCCAACCUGUUCUCAGCCCAGUUGAAGUCUUCAAGUCCAACAAGUGUCUUCAGCCCAUUGGAAUUUUGGCCUAGUCUAGUGAAGCCCAUCAAGAUCAGAAGCCCGCAAUUUUGAGGCCCAAGCCCGCGAAGUCAGCCUGCUUCAGGCUUGGUCCAAUUCAAAAGCAAAUCUUAGAUUGGACUGAGAUUUGUUGGGCCCGUUUUAGGCCUCGCCCGAGUGUUGGCCAACGCUGCCGAAAAUUCAGAUUUCGGCCGUCGUCACGCCGUCAUCGCGGUGAACCGGUUUCCGCAAUUAACCAGUGAGUUUAUUUACUAAACUCUUUUUAGUAGGCUAAUGACAUCUAAGGGGUGUUUAGAUUUAUUUAAUUAGAAAUUAGGUGGUUAGUUAGAUUAAUUUAGUGAUUUAAUUAUGCAAUUAUGCAUGUUAGGUGGUUAGAUUAGAUUAAGUGAGGCUUAGAUACAUUGUGUUAUUUAUCUAGAAGGGUUCAGGAAUUUUCCGGGUCCAUAUUGGUAUUUAAUUUAGUGAUUUUGGCCUAGGUUGGCAUUUUAGCAUUUAAAUUGAUGUAUUUAAUUAGUUUUAGAAAUUAUUUAAUUAUUAAUUAUUUUCCAGAAAUUAUGCUGGGAUAGCCGGUGACCGGAAUUGCGUGCAGAUUGCAAUGGUGUGUUCAACUCCUGUAAUUGGAUGUUGAUUUGUGCAAUUGAGUGAUGAUUCGGNNNNNNNNNNNNNNNNNNNNNNNNNNNNNNNNNNNNNNNNNNNNNNNNNNNNNNNNNNNNNNNNNNNNNNNNNNNNNNNNNNNNNNNNNNNNNNNNNNNNCCCGAGUGUCGGGUUUUAACACCAAAAAUAGUUUUAUACACUAUAUAAACCAAUGAGAUUUUAAAUUGGAGGAUAUCAAUUUUUAUAGUGUAAAUUGACCGUGUAUCCACAUACGACUAUUUUACCAUGUAUUUCUAAUACGAAGAAAAUAGGCCAGGUUCACUAUUUUAAUUGAGACAUUUGAGUGCAAUGCACAGUGUCCUAGGUCGAAAUUGAUUAGUCAUGUGUUGAUUAAGAGAAACUGUCUCGUGCAAUUAUGACAGACAUUACUAAAUCCAUUUUCGGGUUACCCAUGUAUUAAGGUAUUAGGUCGCAGUAGAUUCUGGACCUACGCCCCUUUGAAGAAGCCGUCUAAUUAAGAGAUGUCGCUAUGCUCAUGGUGGGAAACGAAGCCUGGCUAUGCCAGAAGACACCGAACUUAUGAGUAGGUUGUACUCGGGUCGCAAUAAAUUCUGGACCUACCCCCCUUUAGGGAAGCCAUCUAACUAAGAGACGUCGCCGUGCUCAAAGGAGGUGAGACGACACCUGGCAAUGCCAAAAGACCGCCAUAUUUAUAGUUGGCCGUACCCUUAAGGGGUUUAAUUAACAAUUGGAACGCGUGAUGGUUGAGUUUGAUGCACCUGAUUAUGAGACCAAAACUGUGUGGCAUGGAACGGGUUCCUGGUGAUUAAUUGAAUUGAUGAGGUGUUCCAGUUGUUAUGUGCAUUAAUUAUAUGCAUCGCGGUAUGAACUAUACUGACCUGCAAGAAGGAAACUAAGGCGAGG